CCAUCUUAUGGAUGUUAUGAUAUAGUUGACUUUAAACAAGCUAGGUGGGAGCUUGGAAAGGAACGGGUCAAACGGAUCAUGGAUGCAAAGAAUGUUUGCGCGGACGCGAGGUGAUUGCCAAGAGUGCCCGGAUGAAGAUCAAGCUCGAAGAAGAACCGAACACGAUAAAGUUAAAAGCUUCCGCGCGGCGUUUCGUCGUAUCUUUUAAACGACGAAUUCAAUUACAUUAAGUUCUUUUACUUUUAUUGUAAAAGUUUUAGUAAACUCGUAUUGACAUACUUACGUGUAAUCGUACAAACAUGCAUUUUUACGAAAAUUAUAUAUAUAAUAUUGUAUUUAACAA